CCCAGUGAAGGUGACGUGUCAGGAGGUGAGGCUGCUGGGAGGUGGUGCGUGCCCUCUGAAGUGGGUUAGAGCCUCCUGUGAGACCCUGGAGAAAAGGUGCCAUCUAGGAGAAGGGUCCCUAACCUGACACUGUCUCCAAGAGCCUGGAUCCUGGACUCCCAGCCUCCAAAGCUCCGAGGAGUGAGACCCUGCUGACUCUGUACUCAGUGGAGCAAGACUGUUCAUCCUUCCAGGAGGUCACCUGAAGCUCAGCCAGGAUGGCAUGCUCUGCCCUGCAAACUCCGCAGAAGGAGCCCAUCUCUGGCCCCGCUCCUGUGACUAUGAGGAGUCUCCGCUGCCAGGCUUCCACCCUAAAAAGCAGCAUUGAUGACACAGACACCGGGGACCCUGGAACCAGGAGGGCAGAGGCUGCUGAGCCAACUGUGUCACUGGGGCCCUGAAUGUGUGGGGUUGAGCUUGACAGGCCAGGUCCCCACGCACGUAAUGAGAUGGUAGGAGAGCUGAGGAGUGGCGCACCCCCUCCCAGCAGGGAAGACACAGCCUGAACCCCGAGAUGCAGACAGGGAGGGGCCGCCUAGGGGAGGCCACGGCCCAGUGGGUUUCCUGCGAUGGUGCCCUUCUCCUGUCCUUCAUUCAGACUGCACACGUUAUCUUACUGUAAUAAAUACAUCCUGUCUGGCAACACAACCUGGAUUACCUACUGAAGAAGCCAAUGAAAAAUGGCCAGGAUCUUUCUAGGGUUUCCCCUUCUGCAUAGCACAAGAUUCAUCAGCCCCUCUCACGACUGUGUGGCCAAAGGCAAGUCCGACUGCACUGGUGUGAACCCUGCAGGCCAGGUGCCCGUGGGGACACGAGAGAAGCAGUGCCCAGGGGUGUGGGCAGGAGCCACCAAGCACAGUGCUCUGGGGAUGGGCGCACACAGGGAGAAGACAC
rnacentral:lncRNA from 1 species